ensembl:processed_transcript Gm4651 predicted gene 4651
GUCUGUGAACAAGGCUCUGCAAACGGCAAAGGUAGGAGGUGGGUAUUUUCUUCUCCCCGUUUCUGUGUGAAACUGUAGAAGCAAGCCGAGAAGCGCCAGGGAAGAGCUUGCUAAGGAAAAAGAAAAAUGUGAAAUCUAAAAUGCUCCGGCUGGCUGUGUGUCCCAGACCACCGGGGAGCGUACCUGUCCCCUCCCCCGCUCCAGCUGACAGUGGAAGCCUUUGUUCCAAGAGGCGGCCGGUGACAUCUUUCCCAGCUCUCCUUGCCAGGCAAGGAGCCAGCGUUCCAGGAAAGCUUGUGUGUGCAGGUGUGUUUCCAGGGGUUCCAAGCGUCAGAGAGAGCAGGGCAGACAAGAAGAGAAUGUGGACAAUCCACAGAUCCGGUUUCCGCUGGGGCAUCAGGGCUGGAGGUUCCUGGGCCUUGGCGAUAUACUUUCCUCCAGCCAAUAUUAGCAAUCUUAUGAAUGAAGCUAUAUGGCCAAGGUUAGAAUCAGAAAGGAGGGGUGUGUGUGUGUGUGUGUGUGUGUGUGUGUGUAUCCACAAGCCAUAUUAUUACAAGAAGCCCUAACAAUAAAACUGGAGGCAGAGGGCACAGAGCGACCCACCCUCUGCUCUGCAAAGCACUCUCUGCAGCCAUGCAGCCAUGCAGCCAUGCAGCCACGCAGCCACGCAGCCGGACUCCUGAAUGUGAAACAGCGACCAGGCUGAAGGGAACAAGCUCCAUGGGCCCAUGCUGGCCACCAGACACGCAAACCUACAGGAUAAAUACUUUCCUUUGACUUGGGUUUUGUCUAGGUUUUUAGUUACAGUUUUUUACAGUGCUGUGGAACCAACCCCAAGAAACAUGGAAGUUAGGCAAGGUUUGCACCCUCGGCCCUGGGCAACUGCAUUUUUAACGGAAGGUGCAGUUGAGCAUGAUAAGGGCCGUUUUUUUUUUUUACACAGCACCCCGUGGUGAUGGGAGAUGGGCGAGGGCCGGACAAGAACAGAGAUCUCAACACAACUACAUGGAUACACGGAUAUCACUGCUUGUGUCAUGGACAACACAGUCCACCUCUGUGAUCCUACAACCUUCUCUAUGCAACUGAUACAUAGAUUAAAUAUAUAAUAAUCAGGUAAAAUAUCUCCAUCAUACACGGUGUGACUCUUUCUUUAUGACACAGCGAGGCUAGCUAGCUGAGUGUGGUGGUCUACGCCUGUAGUCCCAGUGUUUAGGGUGCUGAGGCAGGGGGAUCCCAGGUCUGAGGUCACCUUGGACUAAACAAUGCAUUCCCUGCCAGCCGAAGCCAGACUAACUUAAUACAAGCAAAUAAACAGACAAAGAUAAAAUUAGGGAGUAGGAGCAAAACUAAGACAACACCAGCGUAGCUGGGUGUGGUGCACGCCUUUAACCCCAGCUUUUGGGAAGCAGAAAAGGGCAGGUCUCAGAAUUUGAGGCCUGGAUUGCAUAGCAAGAUCCAGGCCAGCCAGGGCUGUGUAAUUAAGACCCUGUCUCUA